GACCAUAAUCCCGAAGACCAAUAGGGCGGAAUACCCUUCUCAGUCAAUCAAUCAGGAAAAUGGCUGUUGGGUCUUCAUCUACUCUGCUUCGACCAUAAUCCCGAAGACCAAUAGGGCGAAAUACCCUUCUCGGUCAAUCAAUCAGGAAAAUGGCUGUUGGGUCUGCUUCGAUCCCGAGGAAGGCCUCGAGACAUGUCUUUAAAGUGUAGACUUCUUUCUAACUUGAUCGGUCUGUCA
rnacentral:lncRNA from 1 species